UCUAGACGUAACUUUUUCUUGUUCUUUCACGACCGCCGUUCCUCUUGUCGAGCUAACCUCACCUUUCCCAGACCCCACCUACCCUCCCACCUCCCCCAAAUCGUGUGUGCGUGCGGUUGGGGUAGAAUCGGUGCGGCCGGCGGCGACCGACUGCAGCCGAAUUGAGGCGCGUGACAGCACACGCGUACCGGCGGCUAGCUACGAGGCGGUCCGGCUCGACCCAAGGCGGCGGCGGCGGAUGGGCGGCGGCCGGUGCCUCGGACGCGGUCGGCCACGGCGGUCGCCGGGCGUCUGGAGCCUCAAACACGGUCAGAAUCGAGCGCCCGAUGCGGUACUGUGGGGACAUGGCGCGGCGGCCGGCGGGACGGAAUCAUGCUGCGAUGACAUCGAGCAGGUGGCUUAUGGCAUGGUAGCGCGGGGCCACGUCUUGGGCGUGGUGGCCAGCGGGACGGAAGCACACGACCACCGCAUGGAGCAGACGGCCGACGGCACAGAGGUGUGUGGACACGGCGACGAUGCAGCGGUCGGCGACACGAACGCGUCGGACCAGCCCUCCAACACGGCGACAUGUUUCAGCUUCAUGCAGGCAACUCGCGAAAUCAUGGAAUCAAUCAGCGUCCUUGAUCGACAUGGCCAUUCCUUUCCCCCGCUCAAUUUUCCUGCCCAAUCCUGCCUUCUCACUGACGAGCAGGUUCUCUUCGUCGCUCAGGAGCGAGCACGUCUCGCUUCGGCAAGGUUAGGAAAAUUAGGCUCCACCAUUUGUGCUGUCCGUCACAAGAAUAACUAUCUGAAAUGAAAUUUGCUCCACUGGUGCUACCCAAUUUUGCAAGGAUUUGUGCCUGAACUGUUCUGUUUCAUGUGCCAAAGCAUUGUCAUAUGUCACUUGAAAUUUAGUUAUUUGUCAGUUUAUUCUUGAUUGUUUCUACAAUGACAACGAGAAGUAUUUGAUACUGGGAUUGCUGAACUGAUUUCUUCUAGUGUACUGAUACCAAAGGAAUGAAACCAAAUCGGCAAUUUGUAUGGUUGAAGAGGCCUGGGUUUUGUUAUCUCAAACAAAAAUUUCAGAUGCUGUAGUUGACAUUUCCUUUUUGAGCCACCAGCAAGCAUUUUAGUUUUCUUGCUUACUUUGUUACAUUGUGAAUCAGAAUUCUAUGCCGUGGAAGCAUUGUUAAGGACAACUUGUUGUUCUUGUUAUCCUCUUUAUUUUAAUUUUGUUUGCUCCAUAUUUCUGCAAGAUGGUAAAUUUGGGAAUAAGCUGAUGUUUCUGACCCGAGGACACAUUUAUGAUACAAGUUUAGAACAAUACUAGUGAGUUAUAGACGUAUCUGCCUGUCAAAUUAAAAUCUGCUGCUCCUGUAUUUAUGAUACAGUGCAUAUGAUCUUUUAUUUAUGGCAUAAACUAAUCUUGAGUUCAUUGCAUUGCGUGAUCUUUUGCCUUUUUUAGUGACUGCAGUUUUUGUUCUAUUACUAAGUCCUUAUAGGCUGCUCACCAUAUUCGGUAUUUUCUAUCAUGUGCCACUGAAAUUUACUCUUGACAUGAAUUGCUUUGUUGUUUUUAAUGAAUAUAUGUAGUUUCAAACACUACCAUUUGUUAUGGGCAUUCCAGUACAUCCUUGUGCCAGCUAACCUGCACUUUAAAUGGUUAUGAUAAGUUGAUCACUUCACUUGAACCUUCCUAAGAUAACCCAGUUGCUAGUGUAGAAACAGGUAAUUGGCCUUAUUAAUAUAUUGAAAUUGAACUUCGUUUUUUGCUGUUGUGGAACUGUGCAAGUGUCAACAACACUCUCUAAUAGAAAGUGAAAUUUAUGUACUGGAAAUGAUCAUUGAUGAUUUAUGAAUUUAACAUGUUUAUGGAGUUCUAAACAUGCAAAGCUAUAUCAUAAAUACAUUGAUCUGUUGCCCAGUAUAGAUUAUUUUUCUGACUGCAGCCCUGCCGGCGAGUAAGGUCAGCAUACUUCAUGUAAUGUAACAUCAGGCUAAAUCCCCAUAAUGUAAGAUCCAAUUAUCUGAGUACAGCAAGCUCCUAUCAAUUCAGUUUAUUCAGUACUAUUCGCCGUACGAAAUUGGCUUAGCAGAACAUGAUCAGGAGGGCACGUUAUUACUUUGGAGUUUGAUUAUUUCUACUUGGUGAAUGCUUAUGUUCCAAAUUUUGCUCAGUUUAUUUACUUCUUUGGUCUGUUAUGAAUUCAAAAUUGUAGGUUCAAUCAGGUGUUUUUGCAACAAGAAUAGUCAGUUGCAUUCUAUUGUUUAGCGUCUCUGUUUCCCUUAAUUAAUUCAUGUUCACUGCAAUGAUUUCAGGAUUAAUGAAUAUUGCUCACUGCUCAUUAGGCCUGCUUAGGCAGGUGCCAUGAGCAUAAUUAAGGUCCUUGAGGCUGCAUGCCGCCAACAACUAUAGAUGUUCUCUGAAGCAAGGCCUGGUCAGCACUGGCAAGGCCAUGCUCACCGAGGUCAACCUGGGCCUGGCAUGGCCUUUAUCGAAGCUCCACAAUCAUGCAUUGGCACUCUGUCAAGGGGCUGAGGAUGGUGUAUGGGGUCUUCCAGGCUGACCGUGACCAAAACGGCCACCAGCCACCAUUGCUGGAGCUUCUCACCGAGCUGGAUGGGUGUGACAGUGCAGCACCAAUGGCUCAGAUGGUUUGUUCUUUAUUUCCUUCUCUGAGCUUGAAACACCGACCAAUAUUACAUGAUUUUGUUGUCUGCGGAAGUAUUUAAUUUUGAUGCCACUGUUUGAGCUUAUACUCCUUGUUUUAGCAUGCUAAGCAAAAGGUCACGACAUGAUUAACGUGUUUCUUGAGUGGAUGUGUUCUAGAUGCUACGAAAAUCAUGGUUCCUUUGAAGUCCAUAGGUGAUAUAGAUGCUACCAAAAUUAUGGUUAAUAUCAAAACGACAGUUCAAGUGUGUCUCUGUUGGACGACACAGGAAUUAUGAAAUCAAACAAGUUGUGCAAUUCUUAUGUGGCAUUAUUGAGGGCGUAUAUUUGUAUGUGCCGGUUUUCCCACAAUUUUUUUGUGUUGCCGGCAUCUUUCUUUGUACCAAAAGUAUAUUUUGGUCUUUCUUAUGUGAAGAAUAUUUCCUGUUUUA